AUGAAUGCAAUUGUGCUCGUUCAUGAGUUACCGAAGCAGUUAGAUAAUCUUGUCAAAACGGGCGCUUUAGCCAAGAAGGAUGUCAUCCAGUGGAGGGUUCCUAGCCCGGAAUGUCCUCCUAUACCCAACGAUGGAGAGGUUGUUGUUUUUGCUGAUCACUUAAGCCGUGGUUUCAGCCCUCCCGGUUCAAAAUUCUUCCGGGAUGUACUGGCCAAUUUUCAACUGCGCCCUCAAGACAUCGGCCCUAACUUUGUGACCAACAUCUGCCACUUCCAAGUUUUUUGCGAGGUUUACCUUCAAGAGGAACCCACAGUAGAACUGUUCAGAGAUUUCUUUCACCUAAACCGCCGUACAGAAUUCACAGAUGGACCCAACACCGAAUUAGGUGGGAUGGCGGUUCAGAAGAGGAAGGAAGUUACCUUUCCUCAUCCUAAACUUCACAGUCAUCCUAAGGAGUGGAACGCCACUUGGUUUUAUUGCAAAGACACAUCUCCACCUGAUGAAAACCCGCUACCGGGUUACCGUCCUGAACGCCUGAGCAACACACAUCCUUUCCCUCAAAGGUUGACUGCAAAAGAGAGGGCCAACUAUGCUCCUCAAUUAUCAAAGCUGAGAGCCUUCCUAGCCAACGGUUUAAUGGGGGUUGACCUGGCUCGAUGUUGGAUAGGCUGGAGUAUUCUGCCCUUAAGCCAGCGCUCCGAUUUGAUGUGUGAGUAUACAGGGAGUGUGAAGGAUGCUCUGCGACACAUUGACAUUCAGCUUAUAGAUGAAGAAGUCACUGAGGCCAUAAAAAAGAUGUUGAACGAAUCGGAGGCCGUCUGGGCCCAAACCGGACUACUCCCUUUCUGUACCUUCAACAAACCGCCAGCUGGUGAUGAUCCGUUCUGGAACAAGAAAUCCCCGCAAGAAAAACCGGCGAAGCCUCAAGACAAACCGGUCAAGCCAGUUCGUCCAAAAACCAAGGUUGUGAAAAAACCUGCCAACAAGAAGAGGACCACUGCAUCCUCCGAUCCACCAGCUGAUGAUGAUGAUGACGCUGAAGGCAGCCAAGCCGAUGCUGUAGAGACGCAACAGCACGAAGCUCGCCGCACAACCCGGCAUAGCGGCCAGGUAGUCACCUCCGCCAGUUUACCGAACACUCCGGUUCGGAAAUGCCGAUCAGAGGGAACUUCUCACUCAUCAUCUGGUGAAUCGUCUGCCACAAAGCUUCCACCGCUUAAAACAGUGCUUGGUGCUAAGCCCAGAUGA
rnacentral:rRNA from 1 species